CUUGGGAGGGCAAGAAUUUGCAUGGGAGCUUAAGUUAUAAAAUGUGGACCCGAGUCCCGCGCGUCCGUGGAACUCUUGCUGUUGCCAUCUCCCCUCCACCUGCUUUGAAGUGCAAGUUUCAGGUCUUCGCUGCUGCCCUGGCUGAGCCUGCAGCGGGAGCGGCCGGCGUCGGCUGGGCUUAAACUAACCAGGCAGUCUUUCUGCUCCCUCCGCUUUCUCUCCACCAGGCUCCCGCCCCUCGGGCCUGAGUGUCGCCGGGUCGCCCCGCUAGAGUCGCUUGUUCUGAGGGCUGGAUGUACGUGCCCUCCAGUCCCUGCGAACUUCAGGGAAGCUGCUGAGCCCCGGCGCCUGCCGAACCCUCGGCUUCCAGAGCCUCCAGCAUGCGCGUGUGGGCCCCCGUGGGCGUCCUGGCCUCGUUGGCUUACUGCUUCCACCAGCGGCGGGUGGCCCUGGCCGAGCAUGCGGCUCCUGGUGGCCAGCGUCCGGUGGACCGCAGCCUACUGGAGCUGAAAAUGGUGCAGGUUGUGUUUCGACACGGGGCGCGGAGUCCGCUCAAGCCGCUCCCGCUGGAGGAGCAGGUGGAGUGGAGCCCCAAGCUUUUAGAGAUCCCACCUCAAACUCGGUUUGAUUACAGGGUCACCAAUCUGGCUGGUGGCCCAAAGCCUCAUUCUCCUUACGACUCUGAAUACCACAAGACCACCUUGAAGGGUGGCAUGUUUGCCGGGCAGCUGACCAAGGUGGGCAUGCAGCAGAUGUUUGCCCUGGGAGAGAGACUGAGGAAGAAUUACGUGGAAGACAUUCCUUUCCUUUCUCCUGUCUUCAAUCCCCAAGAGGUCUUUGUCCGCUCCACCAACAUGUUUCGGAAUCUGGAAUCUACUCGGUGCUUGCUGGCUGGGCUUUUCCAACAUCAGAAAGGACCUGUCAUCAUCCAAACCGAUGAGGCGAGCUCUGAAGUCCUGUAUCCCAACUACCAGAACUGCUGGAGCCUGAGAGAGAAGACCAGAGGCCGGAAGAAAGCUGCCAUUUUGCAGCCAGGGAUCUCUGAGGAUUUGGAAAAGGUGAAGGCAGGUGUGGGCAUCAACAGUAGUGACGAAGUGGACUUCUUCGUUCUCCUGGACAAUGUGGCUGCUGAGCAGGUGCACAGCCUCCUGAGCUGCCCGGCGCUGAAGAGGUUUGCCCAGAUGAUUGAACAGAGGGCUGUGGAAACAGCCUUGUACACGCUGCAGCAGGAAGACAGAGGCAGAACUGAUGCCUGUCCUGGGUGCCGAGUGCCUGCUGGGUGCUUGAACGUUACUCACAUCUCGCAGGGAAGGCAUCCAGAUGGCCGUGGGCCCAUUCCUACACCUCCUGGAGGGAAACCUGCUCAAAGCUGCGGACCCCACGACCCCAUCCAGCAAGACCAGGAAGCUGUACCUGUAUGCAACCCACGAUGUAACCCUCAUGCCUAUCCUAAUGGCCUUGGGGAUUUUUGACCACAAAUGGCCUCCGUUUGCUGCUGACCUGACCAUGGAACUCUACCAGCAUCAAGAAUCUAAGGAGUGGUUUGUGCAGCUCUCUUACCACGGGGAGGAGCAAGUGCCAAGAGGCUGCCCCGACAAGCUCUGUCCACUGGACAAGUUCCUGAGCACCAUGUCACUUUAUGCUGUGAGCCCAGAGAAAUACCGCACGCUCUGCUCCCCAGCACGAACAAUGGAACUCGGAGAGUGACUCAUUUACACAGACAGGUUGAUUUUUAAAUAAAGUGCCUUUAUAUAAAAGAGUGUCAUGUUGAGAUCA